rnacentral:rRNA from 1 species
GUGAGUAACGCGUAGGAAUCUACCAAGUAGUGGGGGAUAAGCCAGAGAAAUUUGGUCUAAUACCGCAUACGUUCUUCGGAAGAAAGGAGGGGAUCUUCGGACCUUUCGCUAUUUGAUGAGCCUGCGUGAGAUUAGCUUGUUGGUGAGGUAAUGGCUCACCAAGGCGACGAUCUCUAGCUGGUCUGAGAGGAUGAUCAGCCACACUGGAACUGAGACACGGUCCAGACUCCUACGGGAGGCAGCAGUGGGGAAUAUUGCACAAUGGGCGAAAGCCUGAUGCAGCCAUGCCGCGUGUGUGAAGAAGGCCCUAGGGUUGUAAAGCACUUUCAGCAGUGAGGAAAGGUUAUAAGUUAAUACCUUAUAACUGUGACGUUAACUGCAGAAGAAGCACCGGCUAACUCCGUGCCAGCAGCCGCGGUAAUACGGAGGGUGCGAGCGUUAAUCGGAAUUACUGGGCGUAAAGCGCGCGUAGGUGGAUUGGUCAGUCAGAUGUGAAAGCCCAGGGCUCAACCUUGGAACUGCACCUGAUACUGCCAGUCUAGAAUACGGU